UCUUUGAUUGCAGUAGCCAAUGGUCCUGUAUUCUGCCCCCUUCAUAUUAGUUCAAAUCCAAAUCCAAAUCCAAUGGAAAUUGCUCAGAUCUUCUCUUGUUUUCUUUUAUUUGCGUGUUUGUGUGUUGAUUUGGAAUGAAAAUGAGAACAGGCUUCGGAGAAGAAACUUGCGAAUCCAAUAAAAGAGAUUAAGGUGCAGAAGCUCGUUUUCAACAUCUCCAUAGGUGAGAGUGGAGAUCGUCUCACUAGAGCCGCUAAGGUUUAUAAGAACAUAUGGAGCAACUUUCUAUAUCAAUCAAUCUCUCUUAAAACCACCGACUUUGUCAAUUAAAGAAUUUGAUUCCGCUGCAAAGAAGCAAAUAAUCAAUGG